GCAAACUGGCGGCGUGCCUAAUAAUGCAAGUAGAACGCUGACCUCUGGUGCUUGCACUAGAGUGAUGAGUUGCGAACGGGUGAGUAACGCGUAGGUAACCUACCUUUAAGCGGGGGAUAACUAUUGGAAACGAUAGCUAAUACCGCAUAACAACUUUUAACACAUGUUAGGAGUUUGAAAGGGGCAACUGCCUCACUUAGAGAUGGACCUGCGUUGUAUUAGCUAGUUGGUAGGGUAAAGGCCUACCAAGGCGACGAUACAUAGCCGACCUGAGAGGGUGAUCGGCCACACUGGGACUGAGACACGGCCCAGACUCCUACGGGAGGCAGCAGUAGGGAAUCUUCGGCAAUGGGGGCAACCCUGACCGAGCAACGCCGCGUGAGUGAAGAAGGUUUUAGGAUCGUAAAGCUCUGUUGUAAGAGAAGAAUGUUGUGUAGAGUGGAAAGUUACACAAGUGACGGUAUCUUACCAGAAAGGGACGGCUAACUACGUGCCAGCAGCCGCGGUAAU
rnacentral:rRNA from 1 species